rnacentral:rRNA from 1 species
GACGAACGCUGGCGGCGUGCCUAAUACAUGCAAGUCGAACGCACUCUCGUUUAGAUUGAAGGAGCUUGCUCCUGAUUGAUAAACAUUUGAGUGAGUGGCGGACGGGUGAGUAACACGUGGGUAACCUGCCCUAAAGUGGGGGAUAACAUUUGGAAACAGAUGCUAAUACCGCAUAAAACCUAAACACCGCAUGGUGUAGGGUUGAAAGAUGGUUUCGGCUAUCACUUUAGGAUGGACCCGCGGUGCAUUAGUUAGUUGGUGAGGUAAAGGCUCACCAAGACCGUGAUGCAUAGCCGACCUGGGAGGGUAAUCGGCCACACUGGGACUGAGACACGGCCCAGACUCCUACGGGAGGCAGCACGUAGGGAAUCUUCCACAAUGGACGAAAGUACUGAUGGAGCAACGCCGCGUGAGUGAAGAAGGUUUCGG